CCAGACUCCUACGGGAGGCAGCAGUGGGGGAUAUUGCACAAUGGGGGGAACCCUGAUGCAGCGACGCCGCGUGGGUGAAGGAGCGUUUCGGCGCGUAAAGCCCUAUCGGCAGGGAAGAAGGAGGACGGUACCUGACUAAGAAGCCCCGGCUAACUACGUGCCAGCAGCCGCGGUAAUACGUAGGGGGCAAGCGUUAUCCGGAUUUACUGGGGGUAAAGGGAGCGUAGACGGAAAGGCAAGUCAGAAGUGAAAACCCAAGGCUCAACCAUGGGACUGCUUUUGAAACUGUCAAACUAGAGUACGGGAGAGGGAAGAGGAAUUCCUAGUGUAGCGGUGAAAUGCGUAGAUAUUAGGGGGAACACCAGUGGCGAAGGCGGCCUGCUGGACGGAGACUGACGCUGAGGCUCGAAAGCGUGGGGAGCAAACAGGAUUAGAUACCCGUGUACCU
rnacentral:rRNA from 1 species